rnacentral:sRNA from 1 species
AAAAAAAAUACAAAAAA